rnacentral:tRNA from 1 species
GGAGGUUUAGCUCAGUUGGGAGAGCAUCUGCCUUACAAGCAGAGGGUCGGGGGUUCAAGUCCCUCAACCUCCACCA